UCCAGAGGGUGCAAGCGUUACUCGGAAUUACUGGGCGUAAAGCGUGCGUAGCCGGUUAUGUAAGUCGGGUGUGAAAGCCCCGGGCUCAACCUGGGAAUGCCAUUCGAGACUGCAUAGCUAGGGUGCGGAAGAGGGAAGCGGAAUUUCCGGUGUAGCGGUGAAAUGCGUAGAUAUCCGGAGGAACACCGGUGGCGAAGGCGGCUUCCUGGACCGACACUGACGCUGAGGCGCGAAAGCUAGGGGAGCAAACGGG
rnacentral:rRNA from 1 species